UACGAAGGGUGCGAGCGUUGUCCGGAAUCACUGGGCGUAAAGGGCGCGUAGGCGGCGCGAGUAGUCAACGGUGAAAGCCCGGGGCUCAACCCCGGGUCGGCCGUCGAUACUCUCGUGCUUGAGCACUGUAGAGGCAGGUGGAAUUCCGGGUGUAGCGGUGGAAUGCGUAGAGAUCCGGAAGAACACCGGUGGCGAAGGCGGCCUGCUGGGCAGUAGCUGACGCUGAGGCGCGACAGCGUGGGGAGCAAACAGG
rnacentral:rRNA from 1 species